UACGUAGAGUGCAGGCGUUAAUCGGAAUUACUGGGCGUAAAGCGGGCGCAGGCGGUUUGCUAAGACAGGUGUGAAAUCCCCGGGCUUAACCUGGGAACUGCGCUUGUAACUGGCAAGCUAGAGUGUGGCAGAGGGGGGUGGAAUUCCAGGUGUAGCAGUGAAAUGCGUAGAGAUCUGGAGGAACACCGAUGGCGAAGGCAGCCCCCUGGGCUAACACUGACGCUCAUGCACGAAAGCGUGGGGAGCAAACAGG
rnacentral:rRNA from 1 species